rnacentral:rRNA from 1 species
UACGUAGGGUGCGAGCGUUUAAUCGGAAUUACUGGGCGUAAAGCGUGCGCAGGCGGUUUUGUAAGUCUGUCGUGAAAGCCCCGGGCUCAACCUGGGAAUGGCGAUGGAGACUGCAAGGCUUGAAUCUGGCAGAGGGGGGGUAGAAUUCCACGUGUAGCAGUGAAAUGCGUAGAGAUGUGGAGGAACACCGAUGGCGAAGGCAGCCCCCCUGGGUCAAGAUUGACGCUCAUGCACGAAAGCGUGGGGAGCAAACAGG